UUGUCAACUUUUUAACUUACU
rnacentral:miRNA from 1 species